AGGAGGUGGAGCUGAGCAGGCAGCAAAAACGUCAGGGACUCCAACAAGGGAGAAAGAAAGAAACACAGAAAAAAAUGGCGAGAGGCUGCGAAGAAAGGCCAAGGGAAGAGUAAAGAACGAGGGCUACAGAAUAACACUUGGAGCAGUGGACUGCAGAGCAGGAGAGCAAAUUUGGUCUUUGUAAGGCACGCCGGAGGAAGAGAGCACUGGAUGUUUUGUAGUGCUGCCGCUACGGGAGCCAGAGCCUCCCUCUCCCACUGGUGGUGAGGCGUGACAGCGCUCAGACCACACGCGGAGCAGCCGAGUUUCACUUCUGCCGAAAGGUGUUCAGCCCCACAGCUCUCCGCGGCUCCCACGCGCGAGGCUGGAGGGUCACCUGCAAAACCCUGCAUUUUGUGCCAGGCACGAGAGUCCCCGCAGAAGGGGCUGCUGCAUGUCGCCCGCAUGCGGCACUCUCUUCUCGGGGGGGACGGAGGUGGAUACGCAUUCACUUGCUGCUCACCUCAGGCCAUGGUUUUUAGUUAAAUUCCUGCAUGGUGUCACAAGCAUGCUCCAAACCCAUGAGGGGCAGUGUUCGGGGGAGGUUUCCCUCGCUGCUGGAAGCCAAAGCUGUUCCACUGAAGAGUUACUGGGACAGAAAGCAAGCGAGAAAGAGAAUGACUCUGUGCUCUGAGCCUGCUGUAAUGUUUGAAGACCAGGGAAAUAAAUAAAAUUCGUUUUAGAUGGUCUCA